rnacentral:rRNA from 1 species
GCUGUAAGUAAGCUUUGAUCCAGAGAUUUCCGAAUGGGGAAACCCAGCAUGAGUUAUGUCAUGUUAUCGAUAUGUGAAUACAUAGCAUAUCAGAAGGCACACCCGGAGAACUGAAACAUCUUAGUACCCGGAGGAAGAGAAAGAAAAUUCGAUUCCCUUAGUAGCGGCGAGCGAAACGGGAAGAGCCCAAACCAACAAGCUUGCUUGUUGGGGUUGUAGGACACUCUAUACGGAGUUACAAAGGACGACAUUAGACGAAUCAUCUGGAAAGAUGAAUCAAAGAAGGUAAUAAUCCUGUAGUCGA